rnacentral:rRNA from 1 species
AGUGGCGGACGGGUGAGUAACGCGUGGGCAACCUGCCCCGCACUGGGGGACAACAGCCGGAAACGGCUGCUAAUACCGCAUAAGCGCACAGCUUCGCAUGAAGCGGUGUGAAAAACUCCGGUGGUGCGGGAUGGGCCCGCGUCUGAUUAGCUGGUUGGCGGGGUAACGGCCCACCAAGGCAACGAUCAGUAGCCGGCCUGAGAGGGUGGACGGCCACAUUGGGACUGAGACACGGCCCAGACUCCUACGGAAGGCAGCAG